CUCCAGGUUGCUUAGGGAAGCCUCAGAGCUCAGGUGGCUGAGAAUGACAGUACACAUCAGGCGAUGGAGAUGUUUCUCUUUCUUCUGAUAAGCACUUAAAUGCUUACCAGGUUCCACUACCUGGGCAACAAAUGUCAUCCUUGCCUUUGGCUGUGGAUUGGUGCAUUUGAUCCUAUCAAUCCCUUGUUUUCAGCCUAAUCCAACUUCCCCAAAACAUGGGGAAAAGAAGAGGAGAAUAUCAGAAAGCUUUCAAAUUUGCAACUGCAAGACUGAUACACAUUUUGCAAGGAUCUGUCUGAUGUGUACAACAAACAUUGGAAUUAAGGCUUCUACAAUACUGGUAUGUGGUCAAGUCUAUGGCUGUGCAAUGCUGGACUUCCGCAAAGCAUCUCCAGCUUCCACUGUUACCCAACUUGUAAACCAGAAGAUGUGCUGAUGUAGGUGGAUAGCAGCUCCAAGACAAGUCUGAGAGCACUGAACACAUUAAGAAGUGAUUGCUGAGCCCGUUAGGGACAGGCACGUCUGCGGACACUGUAGCAGGGUCCCCGGCCGCGGAGAACACGCCGAUCCGGCCCGUUUUGGACAGGGAUCCACACAUGACCUGUCUACCUUGUAGAGCCAAGAUGGAAUGCAGAGGAAAGUACUGAUUACAAUGUUAUUUCACAACUAGAAUUAUACUGGAAGAAAGAGUGAAAAUAGUCAGAAUUGCCUUAUUUAAGAUUUUUCUUUGCAUUAAGAAAUAGUCCUUAUUUUUGCUUAUAAAUGUAAAUGUAAAGCCAC
rnacentral:lncRNA from 1 species